rnacentral:rRNA from 1 species
AAAACUUUGCAAUGCGGGAAACCGUGACAAGGGAACUCUGAGUGCCCGUAAAAUCGGGCUGUCCAUCGGUUUAAAAAACCGGUGAAGAAAGGGCCGGGCAAGACCGGUGCCAGCCGCCGCGGUAAUACCGGCGGCUCGAGUGGUGGCCACUAUUACUGGGCUUAAAGCGUUCGUAGCUGGUUUGUUAAGUCUCUGGGGAAAUCUUCCGGCUUAACCGGAAGGCGUCUCAGGGAUACUGGCAGACUAGGGACCGGGAGAGGUGAGAGGUACUCCAGGGGUAGGAGUGAAAUCCUGUAAUCCUUGGGGGACCACCUGUGGCGAAGGCGUCUCACCAGAACGGCUCCGACAGUGAGGGACGAAAGCUGGGGGAGCAAACCGGAUUAGA